rnacentral:rRNA from 1 species
GAUGAACGCUAGCGGCAGGCCUAAUACAUGCAAGUCGAACGAUAGUGAGAAGCCUGCUUCUCACGAAAGUGGCGCACGGGUGCGUAACGCGUAUGCAGCCUACCUUAAUCAGGGGGAUAGCCCGAAGAAAUUCGGAUUAACACCGCAUAAAAUCACAGUAUAGCAUUAUACAAUGAUCAAAUAUUUAUAGGAUUAAGAUGGGCAUGCGUGACAUUAGUUAGUUGGCGGGGUAACGGCCCACCAAGACCACGAUGUCUAGGGGAUCUGAGAGGAUGACCCCCCACACUGGUACUGAGACACGGACCAGACUCCUACGGGAGGCAGCAGUAAGGAAUAUUGGUCAAUGGAGGCAACUCUGAACCAGCCAUGCCGCGUGCAGGAAGACAGCCCUCUGGGUCGUAAACUGCUUUUAUUCGGGAAUAAACCUAUCUACGUGUAGAUAGCUGAAUGUACCGAAGGAAUAAGGAUCGGCUAACUCCGUGCCAGCAGCCGCAGUAA